GCUGAAAAAAAACCCCAUCACUAUCAAGAUAUAACUUCACAUCAACAAACCUUCCACUGUCCAACCACACACUGCAAUCAGAUAUACACUGUUGCAUAUACACUGUUAAAUAUACACUGUUGCAUAUACACUGUUGCAUAUACACUGUUAAAUAUACACUUAAAUAUACACUGUUGCAUAUACACUGUUGCAUAUACACUGUUAAAUAUACACUUAAAUAUACACUGUUGCAUAUACACUGUUAAAUAUACACUGCUGCAUAUACACUGUUGCAUAUACACUGUUGCAUAUACACUGUUAAAUAUACACUUAAAUAUACACUGUUGCAUAUACACUGUUGCAUAUACACUGUUAAAUAUACACUGUUGCAUAUACACUGUUGCAUAUACACUGUUAAAUAUACACUGUUGCAUAUACACUGUUAAAUAUACUCUGUUGCGUAUACACUGUUGCAUAUACACUGUUAAAUAUACACUGUUAAAUAUACACUGUUGCUUAUACACUGUUGCAUAUACACUGUUAAAUAUACACUGUUAAAUAUACACUGUUAAAUAUACACUGUUGCAUAUACACUGCUGCAUAUACACUGUUGCAUAUACACUGUUAAAUAUAAACUGUUGCUUAUACACUGUUAAAUAUACACUGUUGCAUAUACACUCUUAAAUAUAAACUGUUGCAUAUGCACUGUUGCAUAUACACUGUUAAAUAUACACUGUUGCAUAUACACUGCUGCAUAUACACUGUUGCAUAUACACUGUUAAAUAUACACUGUUGCAUAUACACUGUGUAAAUAUACACUGUUGCAUAUACACUGUUAAAUAUACACUGUUGCAUAUACACUGCUGCAUAUACACUGUUGCAUAUACACUGUUCAAUAUACACUGCUGCAUAUACACUGUUAAAUAUACACUGUUAAAUAUACACUGUUGCUUAUACACUGUUGCAUAUACACCGUUAAAUAUACACUGCUGCAUAUACACUGUUGCAUAUACACUGUUAAAUAUACACUGUUGCAUAUACACUGUUAAAUAUACACUGUUGCAUAUACACUGUUAAAUAUACACUGUUGCAUAUACACUGUUAAAUAUACACUGUUGCAUAUACACUGCUGCAUAUACACUGUUGCAUAUACACUGUUAAAUAUACACUGUUAAAUAUACACUGCUGCAUAUACACUGUUGCAUAUACACUGCUGCAUAUACACUGUUAAAUAUACACUGCUGCAUAUACACGGUUAAAUAUACACUGUUGCAUAUACACUGCUGCAUAUACACUGUUGCUUAUACACUGUUAAAUAUACACUGCUGCAUAUACACUGUUGCAUAUACACUGCUGCAUAUACACUGUUAAAUAUACACUGUUAAAUAUACACUGCUGCAUAUACACGGUUAAAUAUACACUGUUGCAUAUACACUGCUGCAUAUACACUGCUGCAUAUACACUGCUGCAUAUACACUGUUGCAUAUACACUGUUAAAUAUACACUGUUAAAUAUACACUGUUGCAUAUACACUGCUGCAUAUACACUGUUAAAUAUACACUGUUGCAUAUACACUGCUGCAUAU
rnacentral:lncRNA from 1 species